rnacentral:rRNA from 1 species
GACGAACGCUGGCGGCGUGCUUAACACAUGCAAGUCGAACGGUGAAGCGCCUUCCUUUUUGGUGGGUGUGGAUGAGUGGCGAACGGGUGAGUAACACGUGAGUAACCUGCCCCCUUCUUCUGGAUAACCGCAUGAAAGUGUGGCUAAUACGGGAUAUUCUGGGUCUGUCGCAUGAUGGGUCUGGGAAAGAUAUUGUUUCGGUGGGGGAUGGGCUCGCGGCCUAUCAGCUUGUUGGUGGGGUGAUGGCCUACCAAGGCGGUGACGGGUAGCCGGCCUGAGAGGGUGGACGGCCACACUGGGACUGAGACACGGCCCAGACUCCUACGGGAGGCAGCAGUGGGGAAUAUUGCACAAUGGGCGAAAGCCUGAUGCAGCGACGCCGCGUGAGGGAUGGAGGCCUGCGGGUUGUGAACCUCUUUCGCCAGUGAAGCAGGCCUGCCUCGUUUGUGGGUGGGUUGACGGUAGCUGGAUAAGAAGCGCCGGCUAACUACGUG